AUCUAUGGCCAUACCACCUCGAACACACCCAGUCUUGUCUGAUCUUAGAAGCUAAGCAGGGUUGGGCCUGGUUAGUACUGGAUGGGAGAAAACUCAUUUCUUAAAAAGGGUUGUCUUCUCAGAUG
rnacentral:rRNA from 1 species